rnacentral:lncRNA from 1 species
CAGGGUGGAGGGGAAGGGAAGAUGUACAUCAAGGACACAGAGUUCCAGUUAUGCAGGAUGAAUUGGUUCUAGGACCUUAACAUAGUUUAGGGACACCAAUAUUACCGAUUUUAUGCUUGGAAUUUACUCAGACUUCAAGGUGUACCCACCACAAAAACAAAAAUGGUAACCCUGUACAGAGAUGGAUGUUAAUUUGUUUGAUUGUAGUAAUGAGUUCACUAUGGGUGAAUCAAAACAUUAAGCUCUACACCUUAUAUGUAAUUUAAAUUUUUAAGUGAUACAAAAGAAAAUUUUAAAGAAUCAGAUCUUUUUACCUGUGAAAUACUAUUAAGUGGGCAAUUAUAUCUCAAUCAUGAUGAAAAAAUGAUUUGCUGAUCAUUUUCCAAAUGAAAAGUGUAAACUCGCAGAUCUUAGAAUCACAUUGAGACCCCAAAAUUGAAUUUUUGAAAACUAGCAAACAAAAAAUUUUACAGCAAAGAAUAAAUACAUGUUAGAUAAAAAUGAAAUGAUGAGCCAGGUGUCAUGGCACAUGCCUGUAAUCCCAGGAGGCCAAGAGAGGAGGAUCGUGAGUUUAAAGCCAGCUUCAGCAAAAGCAACUGAGUGCUAAGCAACUCAGUGAGACACUGACUCUAAAUAAAACUCAGAAUUGGGCUGGGGAUGUGGCUCAGUAGUUGAGUGUCCCCGAGUUCAACCUCCUGAACCCAAUAAUAAUAAUAUUGAAGACUUUUUAUAAGAAAUUAUGCAGACCAGAAGACAAUGGAAUAAUUACAGAUCCUUACAGUUUUAAAGAAGAAAGAAGACUCAACAUAGAAUUUUAUGCCCCCAAAAAAUCUUUGUCAAGUAAAUUAAAAAUUAAAAAAACCACUAUCAUCUGGUGAGCAGAGCAGAAUUUAUCACCAACAGACAUUUAUUAUAAGAAAAGCUAAAAUUCUUCACGGGUAAGAAAAACAAUGCCAGAGAGAAACUCACAAAUAAAUACUGAGCACUGGAAAUGGGAAAUAUGUAGGUAAAUGUGAACAUUUUUUCAUCUUUAAUUUCUUUUAGACCAUUCCUAAAACAAAAUUUAUGACCUGAUGUUGUGAAGGUUAUAACAAAGGUAGAAGAUAUGCCAGCUGCAUUAAGGGCAAGAGGAUGAGGGAAAGAGGUUGUAGGGUUAUAUGUGAUGUGGUCCAAUAUUCUUUAAUGGUUGCCUGUGGAAGGUUGAAGGGAGGGAUCUAUUGUAAACCCCAGAGCAACGACAGAAAAAAAAAAUCUGUAGCUAAUAAGUCAAUAGUGGAUUUACUAGGAAAUCCUAAAACAAAUCCAGGAAAAAAUUGGAGAAAUAGAAAACAUCAAGGAGAGUUAAACACAAUGACAUAAAUAAUGGUAUUAAAAAUAAGUCUUGUAAAAACUUCUAUUAAAGGGCAGAGGUUGCUAUGCUGGAGUUAAAAGGCAAUUAUGAGCUAUUAGUUGUAUAUAAGAAACUCAUUUAAUAUAAAGAUAUCAAGAACAAGUUAACACUCAUGCAAAAAAUGAAAUUUGGUAUUUCAGAAACCAAUGAUUUGGGCAAUCUUAUGAUUUAGUCUCUCAAUUUUGUAGUGACAAAAUUGGGUACUUGAAAUGACUCACAUUUGGUCUUCUUAGCAAGAAAUAUGUCAGUCAUCAUGCUACAUGGAGUCACAGGCUAAGGACUUAAGUUGAAAAGCUCUUAUGUAUGAAAAUUCCCCAUAUUUAGGCAAUAAAGAGGCAAAGUACCAUAAGUCUUUUUUGUAGACUCUGUAACUAUCCAUGUCUAAGAACAUGAGCAAACUGGAGAUAAAGCAACCUCUAUAAAUUCCACAAACAAGCUCUGACCAAGUGUGGUAGUAUCCCAAAGGUGAUCAAUUUGCACACCCAUCUGCCCGACCAGAAAAGCAAAAAAUCAUAAAGCAAUCAGGUUUAAUAUAGUUUAAAAUUGAUAAUGUAUGCAAAGAUUCAAUAAAUAUGACUUAUAAUCCAUUAAACAGAAAACUGAAGUAAACCUACAGAUGGUUCACACGAUGGAGAUAGUCGACAAGAGUGAGAUACAGAUCCUCCAAGAAUUUGGGGCUGUGCCAGAUUGUUGGUCUAGUAGUGUUCCCAAGAGACUGGCACCAACAUUUGCAUUGGUUUUGGUUUGUUCUACCCAAGCAGCUUCUCCAGAAGAACACCAGAAGAUCUGAGAGGAACAGAAUUCUUUUUUUUUUUUCUGAAUCUAGACAUUUAAAGAAUUUUUACUACAGAGACAACUGAACAUAGGUUUCAAUGAUCACACACAAAAGGAAUAGAAUAAAACUGUUUGAAAAAGUUACACAUGGAAGAAUCUAACCAGCAAUCCCCGAGUAGGGCCAUCAGAUUUCUAGAAUUACUGUUCUAUAAUACUCCAAAAGUUCAUUUCUAAAAAGAAACCCAGGGCUGGGGAUGUGGCUCAAGCGGUAGCGCGCUCGCCUGGCAUGCGUGCGGCCCGGGUUCGAUCCUCAGCACCACAUACAAACAAAGAUGUUGUGUCCGCC